rnacentral:rRNA from 1 species
AUGCAGUCGACGAUGAAUCCUAGCUUGCUGGGUGGAUUAGUGGCGAACGGGUGAAUAACACGUGAGCGACCUGCCCCUGACUCUGGGAUAAGCGCUGGAAACGGCGUCUAAUACUGGAUAUGUCCCAUCACCGCAUGGUGUGUGGGUGGAAAGAUUUUUCGGUUGGGGAUGGGCUCGCGGCCUAUCAGCUUGUUGGUGAGGUAAUGGCUCACCAAGGCGUCGACGGGUAGCCGGCCUGAGAGGGUGACCGGCCACACUGGGACUGAGACACGGCCCAGACUCCUACGGGAGGCAGCAGUGGGGAAUAUUGCACAAUGGGCGGAAGCCUGAUGCAGCAACGCCGCGUGAGGGAUGACGGCCUUCGGGUUGUAAACCUCUUUUARCAGGGAAGAAGCAAGAGUGACGGUACCUGCAGA